rnacentral:rRNA from 1 species
AUUGAACGCUGGCGGCAUGCCUUACACAUGCAAGUCGAACGGCAGCGGGGACUUCGGUCCGCCGGCGAGUGGCGAAUGGGUGAGUAAUGUAUCGGAACGUACCUUUCAGUGGGGGAUAACGUAGCGAAAGUUACGCUAAUACCGCAUAUUCUCUGAGGAGGAAAGCAGGGGACCUUCGGGCCUUGUGCCGAUGGAGCGGCCGAUAUCAGAUUAGCUAGUUGGUGAGGUAAAGGCUCACCAAGGCGACGAUCUGUAGCGGGUCUGAGAGGAUGAUCCGCCACACUGGGACUGAGACACGGCCCAGACUCCUACGGGAGGCAGCAGUGGGGAAUUUUGGACAAUGGGCGCAAGCCUGAUCCAGCCAUGCCGCGUGAGUGAAGAAGGCCUUCGGGUUGUAAAGCUCUUUCGGACGGGAAGAAAUUGGUGGGGCUAAUAUCCCCAUCGGAUGACGGUACCGUAAUAAGAAGCACCGGCUAACUACGUGCCAGCAGCCGCAGUAAUAC